AUUGAACGCUGGCGGCAGGCCUAACACAUGCAAGUCGAACGGUAACAGGAAGAUGCUUGCUUCUUUGCUGCCGAGUGGCGGACGGGUGAGUAAUGUCUGGGAAACUGCCUGAUGGAGGGGGAUAACUACUGGAAACGGUAGCUAAUACCGCAUAACGUCGCAAGACCAAAGAGGGGGACCUUCGGGCCUCUUGCCAUCGGAUGUGCCCAGAUGGUAUUAGCUAGUAGGUGGGGUAACGGCUCACCUAGGCGACGAUCCCUAGCUGGUCUGAGAGGAUGACCAGCCACACUGGAACUGAGACACGGUCCAGACUCCUACGGGAGGCAGCAGUGGGGAAUAUUGCGCAAUGGGCGCAAGCCUGAUGCAGCCAUGCCGCGUGUAUGAAGAAGGCCUUCGGGUUGUAAAGUACUUUCAGCGGGGAGGAAGGGAGUAAAGUUAAUACCUUUGCGCAUUGACGUUACCCGCAGAAGAAGCACCGGCUAACUCCGUG
rnacentral:rRNA from 1 species